GACGAACGCUGGCGGCGUGCUUAACACAUGCAAGUCGAACGGAAAGGCCCUGCUUUUGUGGGGUGCUCGAGUGGCGAACGGGUGAGUAACACGUGAGUAACCUGCCCUUGACUUUGGGAUAACUUCAGGAAACUGGGGCUAAUACCGGAUAGGAGCUCCUGCUGCAUGGUGGGGGUUGGAAAGUUUCGGCGGUUGGGGAUGGACUGGCGGGUUAUCAGCUUGUUGGUGGGGUAGUGGCUUACCAAGGUUUUGAAGGGUAGGCGGCCUGGGAGGGUGACCGGCCACAUUGGGACUGCGAUACGGCCCAGACUCCUACGGGAGGCAGCAGUGGGGAAUAUUGCACAAUGGGCGGAGGCCAGAUGCGGCAACGCCGCGUUCGUGAUGACGGCCUUCGGGUUGUAAACCGCUUUCGCCUGUGACGAGGCGUGAGUGACGGUAAUGGGUAAAGAAGCACCGGCUAACUACGUG
rnacentral:rRNA from 1 species